AGAAAUCUAGCCUGCAACCGGGUUUUAAAUGUGGUGGAAGUUACAGUCCACCGUGUGUAUCAAUCUGAACUACUUUAACCCCUGGAGCCCUGGCAGACUAUAGCUGCGGCCUACUGGUGAGCUUUGGUUGGAGGGAAAAGCUGAUUCUCUGCACUGAACUAAACCUGAUCGCCUUGAAGCCCUUUUUCCACCCCCUCUGAACCGGUGGGGGAUAUUCCGGUCCCCACUACCGACUUGCCUGUAACUCAGCAGAGUACUUACUUGUGUGAACGCCGAACUCAGAUAGAG